rnacentral:rRNA from 1 species
UGAAGGCCAGGCUGAAGACUUUGCCGGAUUAGCUGAGAGGUGGUGCAUGGCCGUCGUCAGUUCGUACUGUGAAGCAUCCUGUUAAGUCAGGCAACGAGCGAGACCCACGCCCACAGUUGCCCAGCGUACUCUCUGGAGUGACGGGUACACUGUGGGGACCGCCGGCUGCUAAAGCGGAGGAAGGAAUGGGCAACGGUAGGUCAGUAUGCCCCGAAUAUCCCGGGCUACACGCGAGCUACAAUGGUUGGUACAAUGGGUAUCUACCCCGAAAGGGGACGGGAAUCUCCUAAAACCAAUCUUAGUUCGGAUUGAGGGCUGCAACUCGCCCUCAUGAAGCUGGAAUCCGUAGUAAUCGCGUUUCAACAGAACGCGGUGAAUACGUCCCUGCUCCUU